rnacentral:rRNA from 1 species
GAUGAACGCUGGCGGCGUGCCUAACACAUGCAAGUCGAGCGAACCCUUCGGGGUGAGCGGCGGACGGGUGAGUAACGCGUGGGUAACCUGCCCUAUACACACGGAUAACGUACCGAAAGGUACGCUAAUACGGGAUAAAGGUGUUGGAUGGCAUCUUCUAACAAUCAAAGCUCCGGCGGUAUAGGAUGGACCCGCGUCUGAUUAGCUAGUUGGUGAGGUAAUGGCUCACCAAGGCGACGAUCAGUAGCCGACCUGAGAGGGUGAUCGGCCACACUGGAACUGAGACACGGUCCAGACUCCUACGGGAGGCAGCAGUGGGGAAUAUUGCGCAAUGGGCGAAAGCCUGAUGCAGCAACGCCGCGUGAGCGAUGAAGGUCUUCGGAUCGUAAAGCUCUGUCCUCAAGGAAAAUAAUGACGGUACUUGAGGAGGAAGCCCCGGCUAACUACGUGCCAGCCGCCGCGGUAA